AUUUAUGCCUAUAUUUGUGUGCGUAUAAGCAAUAUGCUUUUCCAGUUUCGUAUAUACUCAGAUAACUAUCAAACAUAAUCAUAUUAAUAUACAAUGAAAAGGAAAUGAAAGCUUCGUCGUGACGUAAGAUUCAGAAUGGUAAACAACAUAAGAAAUAGAUGUCGUCACAAAAUGUCAAACUACAGUCGAAUUCCUCUCAAAUAUGGUCUGAAAUAUGCGUGAAUACGAAAGUACUUUGUCAUAGAGACAUGUCAUGUCCGCCAUAAACUCUCGUUGCAAUUACAAAUAUAUAUAUAUGAGUUAUUCUACCGCUGGAUGCUCGGCGAUAAAAACUCCGUUUAUUCGAUGAACGGAACUGUGAAUACAAAGAAGCGUGGGCGCUUGUAUGGCUGUGUGAUUAAGAUCGUUUUGCAUCCACAUCGCUUCAGGCUCAAUUCCACCGUGCGCCAUCUUGGCCUAGUGUCUUUUUUUCAUUUUAGUACCGGUCUGAUCAAUGUCUUGUGUACUUUUGAGUGAAUUUGAUAACCGGAGGCUGUACACACACACACGUAUGUAUGUAUGUGUACAUGCAUACAUACAUACAUACUUACGUACAUACAUACAUACAUACAUACAUACAUAUAUACAUACAUAAUGCUUGUAUGCAUGAUGGCUGCAAACUCGUGUUUGAGUAUUGCUAUCGCUUGAUCAAAAGUCCUACAGCUCAGUGUAACUCUUUCAUGAGCAGCAAUGAAUCCAGUGAUACAAAGAAGAGCACUACUUGUGAUCCUGGAAUAUCUAGAUUACAUCUGUAAUAAAGUAAGCACCGUAUAUGAUUUCUAUUGUCAUUGGCUAUAAUUGCUUGCGGAUACCGUGACGACACUGUCGAAAUCAGGAAUGAAUGCAGUAUCUAAAUAUUUGUACAUGCACACAUGUAACAAAAACGCGCAUUUUUCUGCAAUCCUUUCGCUCAUUAGAGGUAUAUAAUUUCUCUCCUACUCCGUCCCAGCAUUCUUUAACCUAUAAGUGUAAUCAUUACGUAACCCAUUGCGUAUGGAGGAUUCAGGAAGCUCAAAACAGAAAUGUAAAAACCAAAUCAGCUAUGUAAUAAAUGAAAGUUCGAUGUGAAGAAUGGGUAAAUGGUGAUAGUAAAUUCCAUUUAUAUUUUUACAGUAACUGCUUAAAGUAAGAGCUGGUUCUACAAAGUAUCUAAAAGCAAGACCUGAGGUUUUAACAAGCGUCGCCACUACGAUAAGUACAUGCUAAAAAAAAAGACGUAAUUUAUUACCAUGGGUCUAAAAUCAGGUUUCAAACGUAACUUUAACACUCCCUUCACAUACAUCCUUCACCUCUCAAUAUAUAUAACUGAUCAUAUUUUUCUCCUCUUCUCAGAAAUACCUGUCUCCACCCCGUAUGCGGUGAUUCAAUUAAUAAGUGUACAUAUAUAUAUGUCCUCUGCAUGUAUGUAUACGUAUAUAUAUGUAUGAAUCUACGUGUAUAUAUUUUUUAAACUGAAUACUUUUCACGUCAAUUACAAUCUUGAUAACUCGAAGUGCUGUGACCUUAAUGUACUCUUGUGCACCUAAGAAGCCACCCGAGCCCACCCGCCUUGCAGUUGCCUGUCAUUUGAUUGCGGCUAUGCUGGAGUACCACCUUGAAGAAUGUGACCCAGUACUUAUAAUAUGAGUCUCUUUUGCGGAAAUCAAUAAGUUACAGGGACGAAAACACACCAACACUCAGCCAGCAUGGAAGAAUAUGACUGAUGAGAUUAACAACAUGAGGUGUGUCCAGAAGCAUAGAUUCCUUCUACGGCGGUAACGAUAUCCUGUUAGGAAGGAAGUAGCAGGGAUUGAUGAUGAGGAAAACGUUGAAAGGCAAAUUUGACGUCGGUGCCAUUUGAACCCAGAACGCAAAGAGCUGGAAGUAAAACCACAAGGCAUUUUAUCUGACACCCCGAUGAAUAUGCCAAUCUGCAGUUCUUAAUAAUUGCAUCUAGCUUGGACUAACGGCCAAAUUUGUUAUUUUUUUACCAUUUUAAUAUAUAUUAAAAAAACACUCAGUGGAGGCGCAAUGGCCCAGCGGACUCGCGGUCAUAGGAUCGCAGUUUCGAUUCCCAGACCGGGCGUUGUGAGUGUUUAUCGAGCGAAAACACCUAAAAGCUCCACGAGGCUCUGCAGAGGAUGGUGGCGAACCCUGCUGUACUCUUCCACCACAACUUUCUCUUACUUCCUGUUUCUGUUGUGCCUGUAAUUCAAAGGGUCAGCCUUGUCACAAUCUGUGUCAUGCUGAAUAUCCCCGAGAACUACGUUAAGGGUACACGUGUCUGUGGAGUUCUCAGCCACUUCCACGUUAAUUUCACGAGCAGGCUGUUCCUGGAACCCUCGACGUCGUAAGCGACGGAGUGCCAACAACAAUAACUGCAUGUAGCUAGGACUAACGGCCAAAUUUGUUGUUUUUUUUACCAUUUUAAUAUAUAUUAAAAAACACUCAUUACUGUUUAUGACAGCAUAUUAUUCAAAUUAUUCUAAUUAUUUUGAAGUGAUGAGUUUAUAUCAUUGGUGAUUUUUAAAUUACACGAUGACCAGAAAGUUGGACCAGAAUCAAUAAAAUAUGAUUGAUAUGUUAAAACAAUUUUGGUUAUAGAUUUCAUAAUUUCUUAAUAAAAGCUUGUGUUCAAUCGUG